UCGGGAAUUUUGGGCAAUGGGCGAAAGCCUGACCCAGCAACGCCGCGUGAGGGAUGAAGUAUUUCGGUAUGUAAACCUCGAAAGAAUGGGAAGAAUAAAUGACGGUACCAUUUAUAAGCUCCGGCUAACUACGUGCCAGCAGCCGCGGUAAUACGUAGGGAGCAAGCGUUGUUCGGAUUUACUGGGCGUAAAGGGCGCGUAGGCGGCGCGGUAAGUCACUUGUGAAAUCUCUGAGCUUAACUCAGAACGGCCAAGUGAUACUGCUGUGCUAGAGUGCGGAAGAGGCAACCGGAAUUCUUGGUGUAGCGGUGAAAUGCGUAGAUAUCACACAGAAUAUCGAUUGCGAAGGCAGCUCACAAAGCCAUUAUUGACGCUGAGGAACGAAAGUGUGGGGAU
rnacentral:rRNA from 1 species